rnacentral:rRNA from 1 species
GACGAACGCUGGCGGCGUGCUUAACACAUGCAAGUCGAACGGAAAGGCCCUGCUUUUGUGGGGUGCUCGAGUGGCGAACGGGUGAGUAACACGUGAGUAACCUGCCCUUGACUUUGGGAUAACUUCGGGAAACUGGGGCUAAUACCGGAUAGGAGCUCCUGCUGCAUGGUGGGGGUUGGAAAGUUUCGGCGGUUGGGGAUGGACUCGCGGCUUAUCAGCUUGUUGGUGGGGUAGUGGCUUACCAAGGCUUUGACGGGUAGCCGGCCUGAGAGGGUGACCGGCCACAUUGGGACCGGGAUACGGCCCAGACUCCUACGGGAGGCAGCGGUGGGGAAUAUUGCACAAUGGGCGGAGGCCUGAUGCAGCAACGCCGCGUGCGGGAUGACGGCCUUCGGGUUGUAAACCGCUUUCGCCUGUGACGAAGCGUGAGUGACGGUAAUGGGUAAAGAAGCACCGGCUAACUACGUG